rnacentral:rRNA from 1 species
CCUACGGGGGGCUGCAGUCGGGAAUAUUGCGCAAUGGAGGAAACUCUGACGCAGUGACGCCGCGUGCAGGAAGAAGGUUUUCGGAUUGUAAACUGCUUUAGACAGGGAAGAUACAAGACAGUAUCUGUAAAAUAAGAGCCGGCUAACUAGGUGCCAACAGCCGCGGUAAUACGUAGGGAGCAAGCGUUAUCCGGAUUUAUUGGGUGUAAAGGGUGCGUGGACGGGAAGGCAAGUUGGUUGUGAAAUCCCUCGGCUUAACUAAGGAGCUGCAACCAAAACUAUCUUUCUUGAGUGCUGGAGAGGAAAGUGGAAUUCCUAGUGUAGCGGUGGAAUGCGUAGAUAUUAGGAGGAACACCAGUGGCGAAGGCGACUUUCUGGACAGUAACUGACGUUGAGGCACGAAAGUGUGGGGAGCAAACAGGAUUAGAUACCCUUGUAGUC